rnacentral:rRNA from 1 species
AGUGAACGCUGGCGGUAGGCCUAACACAUGCAAGUCGAACGGCAGCACAGUAAGAGCUUGCUCUUACGGGUGGCGAGUGGCGGACGGGUGAGGAAUACAUCGGAAUCUACUUUUUCGUGGGGGAUAACGUAGGGAAACUUACGCUAAUACCGCAUACGACCUACGGGUGAAAGCAGGGGAUCUUCGGACCUUGCGCGAUUGAAUGAGCCGACGUCGGAUUAGCUAGUUGGCGGGGUAAGGGCCCACCAAGGCGACGAUCCGUAGCUGGUCUGAGAGGAUGAUCAGCCACACUGGAACUGAGACACGGUCCAGACUCCUACGGGAGGCAGCAGUGGGGAAUAUUGGACAAUGGGCGCAAGCCUGAUCCAGCCAUACCGCGUGGGUGAAGAAGGCCUUCGGGUUGUAAAGCCCUUUUGUUGGGAAAGAAAAGCAGCAGGUUAAUACCCCGCUGUUCUGACGGUACCCAAAGAAUAAGCACCGGCUAACUUCGUG